AACAUAGAAUUUACUUUCAAUUGACAAUUUCAUCUAAAGAAUUAUUUUGUGUACAUUGAAAUAAUUUCAUAUAAGUAGUAAUCACUGCACUUCUACAAUAAAUGUGAUAUUGAUAUUUUUCAUAAUAUAAACAAAAAGAAAAUUACCCAGAUUCUGAGCCGUUCAUCUUGAAUUCUUCGACGACGUGACUUAUUUUACGAGAUAUUCCUUAGAGAUUACGAAAACAGGAUAAUAAUCGGUCUCCGAAAUGACAGAUUUUAUUCAGAAAUAUUACGGCAGCCGCCAGCUGACAUUUCCUGCGUUGCAAGAAAUUCAACAUGGCCGAUCGACAUGACAUGACUCGCAGCUUACUCCUUCUCGCACUCAAAUACGACGUUUCGUAUUAGUCAAAUCAUGUAUUUUUAUUAUGUAUCUUUGUUUGUAAAUUCAAUAAAAAUAUUUGGAUACAUAAAUUUAAAAUAAUAAAUGUAUUUGUGAUGAACGAAAAUGUACAUACUAUGAUAUACCUAUACGAAAGUUUGUUUUGAUAAACUAAAAUUGACAACACUUCUGGUGGAUAUUUAAACGAUUACGUGGAAAGUGGGAAACCCUUUUUCGUAAUCUGACUACCGAAAUCAAAUUAAAAUAUAGAUAGAUAUAUUUUGCAUUAGAAUAUUAGAUAUUGUAAUAUUUUAGUACUUGAUUUCUGCAGAGAUACUAAGAUUCUUAUCUGAAUUAAAAAAAAAAAAAAAUAAUAAUAAUA